CUGUUGUGUGUAAAUGCUCCAGGAGAUCAGCAGUUUCUGAUAUACUCAAACCAGCCCUUCAGUGACUUACAUGAUUAAACAACUGGACGAAUGUGAAAGUGUGCAGGUGUUCCAGAGAGAGAGACAGCACAUGUUGUCAUCUGUGUGUCCGUGUAGAACGAUGUCUGCAGCACCAGGUAGUUUGAGAUGUUGGGGAACUCAACAGACGGAUAAUUUUCCAACUCAUAGGAAAAAUACUUCUUUGUUAGCAUAAGAACCAAACAAAAGCUGUGACAAUCAAAAGUUCUGAUUAGCUCUGAAGAUUAUCAAGAAAUCGAACGGGUAAUCAAACUUGAUCAGGAUAAGUGCUAACCGGUGGAGACGGUGGGGACCUCGACUGGCUAUCGUAGCCUGCAGGGAAUCGGCCGUCAGACAUUCUGUCGCAUGUCCCAGACCCGGUGAAAUGUAACUGAAUUGUCUUGGCCAGGCCUAAGGGUCCCAUCUGCAUCUCAUCAUUGCUGAGGAGUGUGCUCCCAUCACCCAAUCUAGCAUCCAGCCAGAGCAGGUCAUGAUAUAUUCUUUUACCAUAUUAACAUGCCAUUGUGUGUCAUGCCUGAUGUAAAGACUCUUGUCUCUGCGAGCCUACCACACAGAUUUAAUACUUGUCAUUUUUAGGGCAUACCUAACAACAUGUUUUCUUUCUCUCUCUCUCUUCCCCCCCCCCAAUCUGUCCCUCUGAGUUACAUGUUGAUCCUGGGAUUGAGAUGCUGGCCUCUUCUGCCCCUCGGACCUGCUUGAUCCAUCCUGGUGCCCUGUGUCUGGUCGGAGUUUUAUCGCCCCACUCCUGUGAAGGACGGCCCCAUGAGGACAGUUGAGGGUUAUACCUGUUAAAACUGUUAAUAUUAUAGUCAGGCUGUCUGUUGUUGCCCAAAUGAGGAUGGGUUCCCUUUUGAGUCUGGUUCCUCUCGAGGUUUCUUCCUCAUGUCGUCUGAGGGAGUUUUUCCUUGCCACCGUCGCCACAGGCUUGCUCAUUGGGGAUAGAUUAGGGAUAAAAUUAGCUCAUGUUUUAAGUCGUUCAAAUUCUGUAAAGCUGCUUUGCGACAAUGUUUAUUGUUAAAAGCGCUGUACAAAUAAACUUGAUUGAAACUUGAUUGAUUAAUUGGUUACAAAGUUUUGCUAUCGUUACCAGAGGUGGACAAAGUACCCAACUUCAUUACUUAAGUCAAAGUACAGAUCCCGCUGGUCAAAUGUUACUCCGAUACAAGUGAAAGUUGUACAGUCAAAUUUUUACUUAAGUUAAAUUCUUUUUUUCGCGGUGCGGUUUCCAUCAAAUCCUGCACACUGAUUGGCUGGCAAGCGGGUCCGUAUCCUACGGUACGGACCCCGGUUACGGACCUCUGGCGACUCGCUCGUUCACAACAACAAACAUAGUAGCAUUUUUUUUGUAAACAUUUCUCUUUUUUUUAUAAGAUUUAUUUAUAAGAUUAUCAAAAAUCUCAUAAAUUUUUGCCAGCAUUUCUCAGGAGAAUAGCAUUAAUUUUAUAGCAUGGAUAGCGAUAAUGAUAGUCUUCACAGCAAAAGAGAGUUUUACUACCCUGAGGAAGAAGAAAUAAAAUAAAACAUUUCAGGAGAAAGCUAAAAACUUCUAACUUGCUAACGCCAAGCAAAAACAUUGCUGACUCCUGAAUGACUCAAUUUUGUAUAAAUAGGGGACUACAUAGGUGGCAAAAUGUAGUUUUUUUUUCCUGCCAUGGAAGUGCACUUGUAUACCGAGGAGAAAGCAAUUUGCAUUACAGCCGUGAAUGAGGAUUCAAAAUGGCUCGGCUCAGUUUUCCCUUUCGGGCGCUCUAGUUUUCUGUUAGAAUUUGGUAAAGAAAAAAAUAAAUAUAUUAUUUACCAGCUUAAGGUCGGUCCGUAUGGUGAAAUACCGUGACCUCGGCCCAGAGGGCCUCAGUCAGUACUUUCAAGACCUCGGUCACCGUAUGGACCUCCCAGCUGGUAAAUAACAUAUAUGUACUGAAGUACUUGCUUUAAAAAAAUACUUAAGUAUUAAAAGUACAUUUUCUGUCAACACAUUGUUGUAUUAUUGUCACAACGCUUACAAAACCUCAUGCCUUUGAAGCAACCUACUGGAUUAUUUUGUGAAUUCACAAAAUGAACACAUGCUGUGCCAUCAUAGUGGUUUAACGUUAAGCUAGCCAGUCAGUGAAGCUCCACCUGACAUGCUAGCAAACUCUUUUCAAACUGAAAGUCAUAUUGGGUAGCUAACAUUACUAGAAAAGAAAGAUUUCUACAUGCUGUUUAUUUGGCAAGAUUACGCUAAAACAUAUUUCUGAAAGUACUUUAGAUAAGUAAACAUUAUUCAUGUUAGUGUAACUCCAUUUUUACAUGCUAACUAACAGUGUCCAAAUUAACUAGCUAUGUGUAAACGUUAGCCGUGGACAAGGCGAUGGCAACUUGGCAGACAAAUCCAUAGAAAGUCACUUGACUAACCAGACUGCAUAGCUAUUGCAAUGUUAUCACUAGCUCUAAAAGCACAGACAACUUCAUUGCAAGCUUUCUCUUGGAAUAAAAUGUUUAUAUACCUCAAUAUGCUUCUGCAGGUUGGACGGCGAGUUUUUGUAGGCCAUGAUGUGGUUCGUUUCCGACAAACAAAGCAAACAUUUAAAAUGAAACGAAUCUUUAAUCCUUUCAGAAACCUGAAACAUGGGUUCAUGGGCCAUGGGUGCAUGCAUUCCCCAGAAGAACCGCCUCCUUCCAUUCUGCCAUCAACUGAUCGUGUUCAAAUAACACUGCUGAGAAAUCAUUGAUCUUGAUUUUAUACAGUCUAUGGACGUGACGUGACACUAGUGAUUACUGAUAGACUGUCUCAGUGUCACCUGCAAAAAAAUUAAUUGCAUUUUAAGAAAGAAAAAAAAAACAUCCACUUUCAAAGCCACUUCAUAAUAACGAGUAACGAGGACCUUGACAGAAAUGUAGUGGAGUAAAAAGUACGAUAUUUGCCUUUCAAAUGUAGUGAAGUUAAAGUCAUAAGUUUAAAAAAAAAAUAAUACUCAAGUAAAGUACAGAUACUCAAAAAGUGUACUUAAGUACAAUACUCAAGUAAAUGUACUUCGGUACUGUCCAACUCUGAUCGUUACACUCGUUCUUACAUUCUUAUACUCGUUCUUGUGUACCUUUGAUAACGCGAGAUCAACUAUUCAUAUCGUGAGAUCACGAUUCGCCGUUCUGGUAAUUGUAAUACUUAUGCGCAUACACACUGCACUAUUGUUACACUCAUUCUUACAACAUGAUGAUAACGCAAGAACAACUGUUCAUAUCGCGCGAUCAUGAUUCACCGUUCUGGUGAUUGUAAUGCCCACGUGCUAUUGUAAUCCUUAUGCGUAUGCACAUGCGCAGUGCGCGAUUGUUACACUCUUACAUUCUUACAGCACAAUCAGUGCGUUUACAUGCACAUAGAGAAAAUCGAAUUUCUGCCGUUGCUCGACUGAAAUCGAAGUUCUAAAUGCCAUGGAAACACCUUAGCUCGGCUGAAAUCGAACCGAACUUGAUUUCUCGUAAUUGAGCUACACGACCUAGAUUAUGCGAUUUUAGCCGAGCUACUUAGUGCAUGUAAACCCUAUCGAGCUACGUAGUCGAGCUACUUACUUCAGCAUUGCCCCUUCUGGAAGUGACGAGUGACGAGACCACAAGCGGGAAACACAACAGCCUCGGUCGGCAUGACAACGGCAUGAAUCUUUUCUUUUUGUGGCAUUGUUUGCACUGUUAAAAUUUAGCUCACUUACUGUAUCACCAAAUACAUCUGUACAGCUGUUGCAUAGCUGUGAAUUGUGUACAUAAACAAGUCAUUCUAUUUGUCUGUGUGUAUGUAUAUAUAUGUCCAACAUCUGAAG